rnacentral:rRNA from 1 species
UUGACGACAAAGUCGCGCGCUGGUGCGGGGUAGGGUAGGUCGAGCGCGCCGAUUGGACAUGGCGCGUCUAAGCCCGCAGUGCGGGUCCCUUCGGGGGCCGCGUGCGAGGGGUGGGAAACUCUGGGGUUACGGCCCCUGGGGAUUCGAUUGAUCCUGGCCUCCGAGAAAAGCCAGGGCGCGGAAGCUGCGAGCGACCGUACCGCAAACCGACACGGGUGGCCGGGUGCGAGAGCACCAAGGUGGACGGGUGAGUCCUCGUUAAGGAACUAGGCAAGUUGACCCCGUAACUUCGGGAGAAGGGGUACCGCGGUAGCGUGAAGCCACUCGCUGGCGGAGCGUGAGGCGGGCGCAGAGAACAGGCCCAUGCGACUGUUUACCAAGAACACAGCUCCCUGCAAACGCGAAAGCGGACGUAUAGGGGGUGACGCCUGCCCGAUGCCGGAAGGUCAAGGGGAGGGGUGAUGAGCCCAGAACCGAAGCCCCGGUCAAUGGCGGCCGUAACUAUAACGGUCCUAAGGUAGCGAAAUUCCUUGUCGGGUAAGUUCCGACCCGCACGAAUGGCGUAACGACAUGGGCGCUGUCUCAACGAGGGGCCCGGCGAAAUUGAACUGGCCGUGAAGAUGCGGCCUACCCGCGACAGGACAAAAAGACCCCGUGGAGCUUUACUGUAGCCUGACGUUGGGUCGGGGCUCGGGAUGUGUAGGAUAGGUGGGAGGCUGGGAUGUGCGGACUCUGGUCUGCACGGAGCCGACGGUGAAAUACCACCCUUCCCGGGUCUUGAGUCUAACCGUGUGCCGUUAUCCGGCAUCGGAACAGCGUCUGGUGGGCAGUUUGACUGGGGCGGUCGCCUCCCAAAAGGUAACGGAGGCGCCCAAAGGUUCCCUCAGGCUGGAUGGAAAUCAGCCUUCGAGUGCAUAGGCAUAAGGGAGCUUGACUGCGAGGCCGACACGCCGAGCAGGGACGAAAGUCGGGCUAAGUGAUCCUCUGGCGCUGCGUGGAAGGGCCAGGGCUUAACGGAUAAAAGCUACCCCGGGGAUAACAGGCUGAUCUUGCCCGAGAGUCCACAUCGACGGCAAGGUUUGGCACCUCGAUGUCGGCUCGUCGCAUCCUGGGGCCGGAGCAGGUCCCAAGGGUUGGGCUGUUCGCCCAUUAAAGCGGUACGCGAGCUGGGUUCAGAACGUCGUGAGACAGUUCGGUCUCUAUCCGUCGUGGGCGCAGGGAUCUUGACAGGAGCCGUCCCUAGUACGAGAGGACCGGGACGGACGGACCUCCGGUGUACCAGUUGUCCCGCCAGGGGCACUGCUGGGUAGCCGACGUCCGGCAGGGAUAACCGCUGAAAGCAUCUAAGCGGGAAGCUCGCCUGAAGAUGAGGGUCCCCACCAGGUCAACUGGGUAAGGCCCCAGCUAGACUAGCUGGUUGAUAGGCGGCGUGUGUACGCCCCGUGAGGGGUUCAGCUAAGCCGUACUAAUGGCCGAGGGCUCAUCGUC